GGGGAUUUAGCUCAGUGGCAUAAGUGCCUGCCUGGCAAGCACGAGGUCAUUAUUCAAUCCCCA
rnacentral:tRNA from 1 species